AUGAACAGUUGUUGAGGCUAUUUUGGGGAUUUAAAACUUUAACCCUGGACACCUCGCCGUUCACCGCUUCCACUUCAAAAAGGACCACACCUGAGAGAUGGAUAGACAGAGAGAGUAGCAGCUAUAGCACGACAGAGAGAGAGGAGCGGCGGAGAUGGAGGAACCGGCCAUCGUCUCCCGUCGGCCACCCUGUUGGCCUUCAGUCAGACGGUGAUGGGUUGUGGUGGUUAAGUUCGUAUAGAAAAAGAGAAGCUGAGGAAUCAAAAGGUACGGUGGUGGUUGUCGUCGGCGGCAUCCGUGGGCGGAGGCCAUCCUGUACUCACCACCUCUCAUUUAAGACAGGUACUAAUUAUUCUAGGGUUUUUUGGGCAAUCGAUGAUCUUAUUUGGGGGGUUUUUGUGGUGGGUUUGUAGAUAGAGAAACCAGAGGUCACACCGCACCGACGCAAUCUACGGCAUCGACGGUGGUAUUGGGUUCUCCAGUCACCGUACCAACUCUCAACAGUCGGGUUCCUGGUGGAUAAAUUUGGGUAUUGUUUGGAUUUCUAUACGAAUCAAUUCAUACAUAAUGAAUUCUUGAGAAUUAAGCAGGUAACUCCACAAUCUAAUUAGUAUUAUAUUGUAUAGCGAUAUCUGGUUUCCAGUCAUUUGCUGUGUUAGUGUCAUUUGUUGUGUUAGUAACUAAAAAAGUGAUGAUGAUUUGAGUUCUGGUGUUUGUUAUUGUCAUACUUUUCCCCAAAUUCAAAGCGAAACGAUACUUUUUUUCCUUUUGGUUUUUGACCAUAACUUACCGAAUUGCUAGGUGUUUCUAACAUGCAUACAUCAGUUGUAACUGAAAUAGAAAUCUGGAUAUUAAACUUACCACAAGUUUUUGACCAUUUUAGUUAAACAACUAAUUCUAUUCUGAAAUUGAAGCGUUUAAUUUUCUUAUUCCUUUUUUUCGUAAUUUUUGAGCGUGAGAGUAAUACAUUCUAUGCAUUUAACAUGAGCAUAAACAAUUAUCUUCAAAUUUGUUAUUGAAAUUUGUCUAUUUAAUUCUCAAAAUGAAUGUUUUUGUGUUAGUUUUGGAAUGCAAGGAGAAGGAUGUCCAUGAGUAAUUAAUUAGCAUGUAUUUGGGAUUGUCAUGUUAUUCUCUAAAGAUGAUUAUUAAUGUGUGGGUUGUUGGUAUCCGUUGUGAUUUGGGCAAUGGCUUAUUUAGGCUGUGAAGCCACAUCGCUAAAAUUCCACUGCUUCACGUUCCAUAAUCUUUUGCAGUGGACAGAAAAACGGGAGAAACAGAGAGAGUGGCGGUGAUGGAGGAACUGGCCAUGGUCUCCGGCCAGCUGCCCUCUUGUCCUUUUUGGGGGUUUCAACCUCCAUUCGACCGCUGGAGUUUUAGCGAGUGUGUUUUAGGUGACGACGUCUAGGGUUCGAGCCAGUUUUUCGCCUGUCACCUACCCGGUGAUGAUGGUGAGUUGCUAUUUGGUAUGGCAACUUCGGUUGCAACCAUAGCACCACUGAGCCGGCUUCUCUUGACAGCGAUGAGGAUGUGUGACCUUUUUUCCCUUUUACAGCGACGACGACGGUCUUUUCGGAUCUGAGUCUAUUGGUGUUGGUGAUUUCGUUUUUGGUCACCGAAGUUCAAGGCAAAAUAUUGUUCCAGUUUCAGUUUUAGACUCAUAAGCUGUAAAAAACUCAUGAAGGCUGUGAUGACUGUGGUAGGCGCCAUUGUUUGGCUGGCAUAAUCAAGGACGCUUCUUAAUUGGAAGUGAAUAUGCAUGUUAUCAACUCAAAAGAAGACAAAAACAAGAUCAAGAACAUGUAUAUGAAGUGAUCAAGAUUUUGAUGGGUCGUUGGAAUAGAUGGGGAUUUAUUGGCAACUCUGUUCUUCAGGAUUUAGUUAUGUAGGGGCUUGGGUUAAUUUCAAUAUUUCAGUAUGCCACAUUGGAUUGUACCCUCUGAGCUUGAUGAUGAAUCAACUAUAGAUUUCGGACUUUGGUUCUGCAAUGGAUGAUUUCAGAACUGAUUUGGCUAUUAGCAAGCAAAUAAUAAUACCCUCCUCCUCUUUGAAGGGUUUCUUGAUGGUGUUCUUCUUCAGCUUUUGCCACAUUUCGUUUAGCCCACAAAGCGCAAGUGCAGCCAUUUUCGAAGUCAUAGCUUAUGGGCCAAAAGGAGAUGGAAAUACAGACGACACUGUUGUAAACCAUGUCUAUAAUUUUAAGUUAAAGAGAAUGUGGUUCCAUUGCAUGCUAUAGAACCACAUGCCACUUAUAUGUUUUCUAAUUAGGUUCAUUUCUACAGGCUUUCUUUUGAGCAUGGGUUGGUUUUUCUAACAACAACUCGCGCAACCCCGACGAUGGUCAUGCCGCCAAGGAAGUUGUUUCAAAUAGGCCCUGUUACAUUCAGUGGUCCAUGCAAAUCCCCUGCAGUGAAUGUUCAGGUAAAUUGAGUCUAUAAUUGAAAGCAUUAACGUGAUUCUAUUUUCUUUUUUACAGAUUGUUGUUUUGGAAAAGAAUGUAUAUAAACAAGUUUAUUUUUAAUGGUUCAAACAUUUUUAUAAUACCA